GACGAACGCUGGCGGCGUGCCUAAUACAUGCAAGUCGAACGCAGUGGGGACGGGUGAGUAACACGUGGGUAACCUCCCAUCAGAGGGGAUAACACUUGGAAACAGGUGCUAAACCGAUACUGAUGUAUGUACCCGCGGUGCAUUAGCAAGUUGGUGAGGUAACGGCUCACCAAGUCCACGAUGCAUAGCCGGCCUGCGAGGAGGAGCGGCCACACUGGGACUGGUACACGGCCCAGCCUCCUACGGGAGGCAGCAGUAGGGAAGCUUGGGCAAUGGACGAAAGUCUGACCGAGCAACGCCGCGUGAGUGAAGAAGGUUUUCGGGUCGUAAAACUCUUUUGUUAGAGAAGCGGUAUCUAACCAGAAAGCCACGGCUAACUACGUGCCAGCAGCCGCGGUAAUAC
rnacentral:rRNA from 1 species